rnacentral:rRNA from 1 species
AUUCCAGCUCCAAUAGCGUAUACUAAAGUUGUUGCAGUUAAAAAGCUCGUAGUUGAAUUUCUGGUCGUGGCGACCGGUCCGCCCCUCACGGGGUGUGCACCUGGUCUCUGCGUCCAUCCUCGGGGAGAGCGCGUCUGGCAUUCAGUUGUCGGGCACGGGAUCCUCGUCAUUUACUGUGAGCAAAAUAGAGUGUUCAAAGCAGGCUUAGGCCGUUGAAUACAUUAGCAUGGAAUAAUAAGAUAGGACCUUGGUCUAUUUUGUUGGUUUGCAUUCCAAGGUAAUGAUUAAUAGGGGUAGUUGGGGGUAUUCGUAUUCAAUUGUCAGAGGUGAAAUUCUUGGAUUUAUGGAAGACGAACUACUGCGAAAGCAUUUACCAAGGAUGUUUUCAUCA